rnacentral:rRNA from 1 species
CGGACGGGUGAGGAACACGUGGGUGACCUACCUUUCAGUGAGGAAUACCGGCGAGAAAUCGCCGACAAUACCGCAUAGGCUUCUCUUCCACAACCGGAGAAGCAAAGCUCUUUUCGGAGGGCGCUGGGAGAUGGGCCCGCGGCCGAUUAGUUAGUUGGUGGGGUAAAAGCCUACCAAGGCCACGAUCGGUAGCUGGUCUGAGAGGACGAUCAGCCACACUGGGAUUGAGAACGGCCCAG